GUGACUUGGAGGUAUAUAAAGAGAUAGCUUCGACCGAAUAGAAUUCAUUAGCAGAGUUUGCAGUGCUCUAACGUAUUUGUAGAGUUUUGGGAUUUUUCGCACUUUCUUCUUUUGCCAAUAUGAAAGCGUCUAUGUUGCUCAUCUUAUUCUUCGCUCUUUUGGUCACGGUUCUGGCUGGUGCAAAGUCUUACUACGGUGGAUAUUAUCCUCAUUAUUACGGCAAGAGUUGGCCUUAUUACUACUACUACCCAUCUUCUUACUAUUGGCCGUACUAUGGGAAAUAUCCAUACUAUUACUGGCCUUACUACGGAUAUGGGAAAUACUGGUGGUAGAGUUUGAGGGAUAAGGAUGUCUGCGGACUUAAUUUGACACUCUGUGAAGUAAUCUGAGAAUUUAACAGAAGCCUGAUGUCUAAGAUUCCAGGAUUCCAAAGCAUAUAAAACUAUGAAAUUUGUGCAAGAUCAUUUUAAACACAUCAAAUUCCUACGCACGUGUAAAAAUUGUACAUUACGAUUUUAAAUUUUUUUAUGCAUUGUAUUCCAAUAAAUAUUUUCAAACAAUUGG